GAUGAACGCUGGCGGCGUGCUUAACACAUGCAAGUCGAACGGAAAGACGAGGCGCUUGCUCCUCUGACGUGAGCGGGGCGGGGGUGUGAAACACGUGUAUGAACCACCUAACUGACGGGGAACACGUCGGGAAACCGGAGCUUAUAACGGAUAAUGUACUGAAGCGGAUGGGUCGAUAGUGAAAGACGGCCUUGUUGUCACUACUUGAUGCUUCCGCGCCGCAUUAGGUAGUUGGGGGGGUAACGGACUAACAAGGCGACGAUUGGUAGCCGAGCUGAGAGGGUGAUCGGCCACACUGGAACUGAGACACGGACCAGACUCCUACGGGAGGCAGCAGUAGGGAAUCUUGGGCAAUGGGGGAAAGCCUGACGGAGCGACGCCGCGUGUGUGAUGAAGGCCUGAGGAUCGUAAAGCACUGUUAUUGGUGAAGAACAGAUGUGUAAUUAACGAGGGUCGAAGUGACGGUACCGAAUCAAAAAGCACCGGCUAACUACGUG
rnacentral:rRNA from 1 species